rnacentral:tRNA from 1 species
UGGGAUGUCGCCAAGUGGUAAGGCACAGGACUUUGACUCCUGCAUUCGCGCGUUCGAGCCGCGCCAUCCCAGCCA